rnacentral:rRNA from 1 species
UGGUUAUAAACCGGAGGAAGGCGGGGAUGACGUCAAGUCAGCAUGCCCCUUACACCCUGGGCUACACACGUGCUACAAUGGGUGAGACAAUGAGAUGCAAAUCUGCGAAGACAAGCUAAUCUACAAACUCACUCUAAGUUCGGAUUGUAGGCUGCAACUCGCCUGCAUGAAGUUGGAAUCGCUAGUAAUCGCUGGUCAGCUACACAGCGGUGAAUUCGUUCCCGGGCCUUGUACACACCGCCCGUCACACCAUGGAAGCUGGUUAUGCCCGAAGUCGUGACUCUAACCCUUUGGAGGAGCAUGCCUAAGGUAGAAUUAGUGACUGGGGUGAAGUCGUAACAAGGUAACC